UGAGAUUUGUUGUGUUAAAUGACUUUCUAACAGCCCCCCCUCUUGAAAUUUCAAUGGAACACGUAUUGCAAACUGCAAAACGCUGAUCUUUCUCUGAAACUGUAAAAUAUUGCCACACGACCGCCAUCUUCUUUGUUUAAUCUAAGUUACUGAGGACGGAGAGUGCGCGGGCGCCCUCUCCCGUCUCGGACUCGGUAUCUCCCCCCGCCCAAAUAAAAAGAGGGAAAAAAAAAUUCUCCUGAGCACAGCGUUCAUGACACACAUAAUCAUCAGACAUCGGCGAAUGUCAUUUUUAUUUCCCGAUGGCCGAUGGCAGUUAACGAGGCAAAUAUCGGCUGUUACCGAUGUUCAGCCGAUGCAUCGGUGCAUCCCUAGACACAAUACAAAUUGCAGUGGGAGUUUGUGUAAUGGUAACCAGGAAUCUGGAUGUAAAAGAUGGAAUUGUCAAUGGAUGAUAGAUUGGCAAAAUUUCAAACAUAGUCAUCAAAACAAAAGAUGGAAUUGCCACAGUGCAAAUGCUAGGACUUCAACUCGACAAUCCGAACACCGGUCAGAAACAUCGCAAAAAGGUACGAGGUGAAGAAGUAGUUUUGGUUUACAUUGAGAUUCAAAUAUGGACCUCUGCAUUCAGUCGGGUGUGUUAAAGAGCUACCAAAGUUACCACAAUCCUGUGUACUGUGUAUUGCGUUUUAUGUGGAUGAAUUUUUGUUGUCGUUGGCAAAUAUUGUGUAUUGCGGUAUUAUGCCAUACAGAACCGGGGGCACUGAGCAUGCAUUAUGGGUGCCAGUGGGACUAGAACAGCCUUAGCCACUGGGUUGGCUCGUAUGGUCAUGUUGUUAUUAUAUAUAUGGUUGCGUUGAGGUUUAAUGCCACUGAGCUACCAGGAAAGUAGAGCAGCAGCAGGAAGGACGAAGAUAGGAGUAGACUGGCAGCUUCAGGGAGGACACUGGACACACAGGAUACAGUGAGGAUUAGUACGGCGGCUCUAGGGAGGCAGUAAGUGAGUUACAGCACUAACAUGAAGACAGCAACGUUAAGGAAGAGGUAGUAAGACAUUAUAAUAAGAGUUUUAACUUGAAUUUGUUUGACAAUCUGUAUCAAAUGUAUUAUAUGCAGUUAUUCUGUCAUUAAUAUGUGUCCAUCUGUAAUGUUGCAGGAAGAGUUUGGAGACAAUAGCAGUCCUGUCCAAGACUGGAUGCGACUCUGCAAUAUAUCUUCUAAAGCUAAGUGUUUAAACAUUUUGCUUCAAUCAGUGAACUACCGCACAUCAUGACCACUUUUGUAGAAAAAUGUUAAUCCUAAUCUAAUUUUGGAUUUUUAUGUUUUAAAGCAAUUGUACAGAUGAAGACAGAAUGCCUGAGAAGAUCAACCUGUUCAAGUCGUCAGCGCUGCAGAAUAACACAUACCUGCGUGAAUCGCCAUAGACACAAACUCAGGAUGGGACCAAAUGUGUAUGGCACUGAAGACCAAAGCAAGGACAAUGCUGAAGCACUAAGGAUAUCCAGCCUGUACGACGAGUCAGAUCCAGUGGCUAGAUGGCAGGAGAUGCUUCCUUCAUCUAAUAAUUUGAUGACUAAUUCUUAAUAUGUUCAUAAAAUGUUUGUUUAAUUUCUAAGUAUAUUAAUGUUUCACAUAUUAAGUAAAAUUAAUUUGUUAUUGUAAUGUGUGUGUCGUGCCAGAGGAGGAUGGAGCUGCACAAUUAAUUCAAAAACACAAUUAA